GGGAAGUUGGCUCAGUGGUAGAGUGCUUGCCUCGCAUGCAUGAGGUCCUGGGUUCGAUUCCUCAGUACCA
rnacentral:tRNA from 1 species